CUCUUUUUAUGUGGUUUUUCAUUUUUAAGGAAUGCAGUAAAUUAAGCAAGAAAGUAUUUAUUGGGUUUUCUCAGCUUCUCUUUUUUUAAAUACUAAAACAGAAAAAAUAAAUAAGAAAAACAAAUAAAAACUUACUCGGUAAAACGGGGAGGAACUCCCCCAAGCUGGAUGUGGCUGUGUCGGUCUUACUCAAUGUUCCAGAACCUCAUCAUGGUGGUGAUGUUGUCGUUCGUCAUCGUGGUGUCUCGCCUCAGGUCUUGUACUGCAGCGGCGUGGUCCUGGUUCCACUUUUGUUGUUGUUCCAAG
rnacentral:lncRNA from 1 species